AUUGAACGCUGGCGGCAGGCCUAACACAUGCAAGUCGAACGGUAACAGGAAGCAGCUUGCUGCUUCGCUGACGAGUGGCGGACGGGUGAGUAAUGUCUGGGAAACUGCCUGAUGGAGGGGGAUAACUACUGGAAACGGUAGCUAAUACCGCAUAACGUCGCAAGACCAAAGAGGGGGACCUUAGGGCCUCUUGCCAUCGGAUGUGCCCAGAUGGGAUUAGCUAGUAGGUGGGGUAACGGCUCACCUAGUCGACGAUCCCUAGCUGGUCUGAGAGGAUGACCAGCAACCCGGGACCUGAGAAACGGUCCAGCUUCCUCCGGGAGGCAGCAGUGGGGAAUAUUGCCCAAGGGGCGCAAGCCUGAUGAAGCCAUGCCGCGUGUAUGAAGAAGGCCUUCGGGUUGUAAAGUACUUUCAGCGGGGAGGAAGGGAGUAAAGUUAAUACCUGUGCUCAUUGACGUUACCCGCAGAAGAAGCACCGGCUAACUCCGU
rnacentral:rRNA from 1 species